rnacentral:rRNA from 1 species
CCUACGGGGGGCUGCAGUGGGGAAUAUUGCGCAAUGGGGGAAACCCUGACGCAGCAACGCCGCGUGAAGGAUGAAGGUUUUCGGAUUGUAAACUUCUUUGACAGGGGACGAAUAAUGACGGUACCCUGAAAACAAGCCACGGCUAACUACGUGCCAGCAGCCGCGGUAAUACGUAGGUGGCGAGCGUUGUCCGGAAUUACUGGGUGUAAAGGGCGUGCAGGCGGGACUGUAAGUCAGAUGUGAAAUUCCCAAGCUCAACUUGGGCGCUGCAUCUG